rnacentral:lncRNA from 1 species
AUUUCAAUUCCCGCUUAUAAUUUCCGCAUCCUCUAAAAACUUCCAUUUUUCCUCGUCAUCCCCCCUUCCCACACGCAUACUCACAAUUCCCGUGUUCAAUUGCUAUUUGCUAACCUAAUCGACACUGCCUCCUCUCUGUCUCUCUUCCUCAAUCCUUCUUUCUUUGCACAUCUCAAUACACUUCCUAAAAGGUAACUCUUUUCUCUCUUUUAUGUAUUUAUUGAGCAUUUUGAAUUGAUUUCUGAUAAAAAAAAUCGAUACGUUUCUGUUGGACUGUGGAUUUAAGGCUUGGCUGCAGUGGCAAUGGUGGCAGUGGGCUCGGCUAAUGUGGGGGUUUGGACGGUCUAUUUUUUUGCCUGGUUUUCUUAUAUCUACAUUUUAAGUUCUGUGUAUGGGAAGAUUACAUGAUAUAUGGCUCAAGGUGUUCUAUUUUUAUGAACUUGUAGUGUAAUAUGGGCUCCAAUUGUCUAUCGUUCUAUUUGUAUCCUAUUUGUCUCUACAUUGUGUUGGGAAUCUACUUAUACAUGCACAGCAAAAUUUAAAAUAAUUUUCUAUUCCUACCAGGAAUCGCCUCUGUAUUUAGAUAGAAAUUAUGAUAAGAAAACAUUUUCCACAUCUGCAAACUUCUUUGCUAUUUUUUUCGUUCCAACAAUCUUGAUUCGCCAUCCAUAGCUGUCCAAUUGUUCAGCCUCCAACGGUAAUCCACACAGAUAACAAGAUUGCAGCUACCAAGGUUUUCUCUCUUGUGCCAACAAAAAUAAUGAAAAACAUUUAGAUCUCAAACCUUAACAAUGUAUUUAUAUAAACCCAAACGGACUUGACCCGGUCCGCUCCAAUAUUUAAUUAAUCCAUUUAAUUAAAUCUGGUCCGUGAAUUAAUUAAUCCAAUUAAUUAAUUCGGGAAUAUAAAUAACAAAUCAAAUUAAUUAAUUUAUCCAAUGAUUGUUAAAUUAACCAAUUGGCAAUUUGCAAUCUUCCAAUUCUCUUUUGUGUACGACCCAUUAGGUUCCCGAUCACAAUGUCUAACGACGUGAAAUAUUAUUUUUAUCUAAUCAAAAUUGAUAAAUUAAAACACUCUUUUAAUUUAUCGUCAAUUCACACUCGUCGUCCCUGAUUGACAUUUAACAAUGUGUCAGGGCAAUACAUGUGAUGCAAAAUGUCACGUGGUAUGACAAAACUAAAUUCGUCCGUUUACCGUGAAACUAUAAUCCCUUCGUUAAUAUAAUCCGAUCAAUUACGAGAUAUGGAAUUGUGUCAAUCUCGAAUUUUGAUCAUAUUUUUCACUCCACUAUUAAGUCAAUAUAAGUCGAAAAUUUCUUUUCAAUUUAUGAGUACACCUUGGCCAAGAAUUUCGUUAUCGACUUAAUUGAAUGAAACAUAGAUCAUAAUCUCCUACUAUCUAAGAGUGACGAAUCCUUUAUUGGUCAAUUACAACCUUCAUACGAUUUUUGACGUACCCGAACGAUAUCAUAUUAGCGGCCCUUUGCAGAGCAACAUCCAACACCGCCAAAGUAUGAUUGUCCUCAUAUAAUGUACCAUGACGACCUCAAGUCUAAGGACCAAUUCCACUACCGAACGUUAGAGAUUAACCACUGACACUCAGAUAGUUAUCCAUGUGGAAUCUUUUGGCGGGUCUCCAAUGUUUUGUUCUAUAACAAAACGUCCACGUGUCAUUUAAGUGACACCACACUUUAACUUGUGAGAUCAGCUACUUACUUCACAAGUAAGAAAUGCCACACGUGAUGGUCUAUCCGUAAUAAUGAUAUCCGUAUCUCGUUAUCACUUACGACCACGGACGAUUUAAGAUUUAAUUAGAUGUAAUUUGUAUCUCACAAUCAUAACUCCUUGUGAUUAACAAAUUACGAAGAUUUGAAUCUACGGACUCUAUUAUUUAUUUAAUUGUCUAUUAAUUAAAUAAUAGAUCUGUCAUUAAAUUGCAUUAAUUAUAUAUCAAAAGUAUUUAUGUCCAAAGUUGAUUGGACCUAAGGCAUAAUACUUACACAUUGUCUACUAUGUUCUAUUUGUCUGUAUCUCGCUAUUCGUAUGAACUUAUGACUCCGGGCAAUAGAUGUCUAUAAGGCAGCUAAAAUUUACUCCUUCAAUUACCAAAAAUUAUUAAACCUUUAAAUUGUCCAUGGAAUAUGAUAACACCUGAACUUUUGGACCUUAGCACUUAAUUAAAGCUUUAAAUUGGCUGUGGCAUGUUAUUAAACCUUUAAAUUGCAAACACACACAAAUAUAGCUUCAAGAGAAACUCAUAAAAGCUUCUGCAACUCACUUUGACACCCUGAGGCAACUCAUUUAGAAUACAAAUGAAUGUUCAACAGAGAAUGAGAAACUUAGCUUCGAUAUAAAUGAAUGGAAUAUUCUGAUAGUUAGGAAAUGUCUAUUCACAGUUGAAUAAGAUGUCGAGUAAAUUGAAAUUUUUAUCAAAUUACCUGUUCACUAGAAUAGAUUUUGUAUAACAAGAAUUUAAACAAGAUACUUAUUAUUUCUUUUGAUAGCUGGAAAAUGGCAUUAACAUUGCACUUGUUUCGUUUCAGAAAAUGCAUUCCUUUCUCUGAUUUGGCAUUUCCCUUCUACUUUACUUCUUAAGAUCAUAUAUUUUGGUCAUUUGCAUGUAUCUCCAUUCUGACCUUUUUUGUUGUUGAAACUUCUGUGAUUUUACUCCCACAAUCCCCAAUAUAGUCUAUGAGCAGCCAUUAGUCUCUCUUCCUCUUCAUCAGUAAAUGCCCUUGCAGAUGGGGAAAUUACUUCUUGUUCUGCACUGCAUCUCUCGCCUUGCGAAGAUUUCACCACUUGCAUUUGGCCUAAAACAUAUCAAGUGAACAUGAAUUGAUGGUGGUACAGCUUACAGAAUUUUAACUUCUUUGUUCCCAUGUUUUGGACACAGGGUAAGAGGUGGUAUGUUCUCCGACAACUCAUCCUCUCACUCAUUGCACAAAUAUAAUGUUGAUAGGUAUGCUUCCAGCAACUGUUUUUAAUGUGCAGAAUAUAUCGAAGCAUAUGACAUGAAUAUCAAUUUCGGAAUUCAGUACUAUACAUUGAUAUGCAUUAAAUUUCAAAGCUUCCGUCAGAUGAUAUUUUGAUAUCCCCAUGAACAUCAAUCACUUUCUCUGAAAGGCUUCAAGAACAUUGAAUUGGAAAUUAAUCUGUAACAAUUCUGAUUACCCAAUCAGACAAAUUAUUGCAUACUUCAUCAAAGACCCAGUUGCAUUGUAGAUGGGGUGUGAAUCUAAUGUUCAAAUUUGGCAACUGAAGAUUCUUUGAAAUGAGGCAGAUGGCCUAAUAUGGAUUUCUUUUCACGUAGUUUAGCCUCCUUGUAUUUUCAAUUAAAAUCAUUGGACGUUGUUUAAAUAGUAUGAAGCAUCUUCUGGGAAAUGAGUUUGGUUCUGUCUCUUAGUUCGGUUCAAAGUCCUUUGAACACCUUUUCUUUUCUUUUCUUUUCUUUUUUUUUUUUUUUUGUGUGUUUGUAAUAAAUGGAGGUUGUUGGUUUUUGCUUCUGGACAAAAGGUUAAGGAUUAAAUCAUGGCCAUUAAGGUACUCUCUAAACUAAUUUGGAUGCUUUAAUGAUUCUAUAGUUAAACCAUUAAUUAGUUGUUCCUUAUAUGAAUAUGUGAUAGUAAGUGUAUAUAAGUAACUUUGAUGUUGAAUCUGUAAUAAUAGUUCAUUUUUGCUAGUUGCUUUUAUAUUGAGUUCAACUGACGUAGUCCGUAAAUUUCAUAUUACAUGCAUACCUAUAAAGCAGUGGAUUAAAUUUUUUCAAGUCUAUUGCACAUAGUAAUUAAUAAUUCAGUAGUUAACAACGCUUUUAUCAAAUUACUCAAGCACAUUGGUCAAUUAUAUGCACUCCUACAUAUGCUCAAGUUGAGAAAGGGAUAUCAUUGAUUAUUAAUGUUGGCAUCGAAAGAGACUUGUACGUUAACUCCUGAAUAAGAAAUUUAUAUUUAAUUUCUACGUUAACUUUUAAAUACAAUAUUAGUACUUUCCUUUCCUAUUGUCUUGCAUGCAGAUCAUGAGGAACAUAAUUGAGGGAGACAAGAAUGAGAGUCAAGGAUUACAUCUCACUACUGCACAAGAUUGCAACUCAAUUCUAUUGUUGCCUAUGAUUUUAUUUUGGACUGCACUAUUCUUCUCAUUUUUUGGAACUUCACUAGGUUUUUUUAUUGUCUAUGAUAUUGUUUUGGACUAUGUCUAUGUACAUGUUACUCAUUCUGGAAUUAGAACUGACUUGUAAAUGUAUUUUGCCUUGCAUCAACUUUCUUAAAGGCUUUUGAAUUGUGACUAUUGCGUUGUGAUUUCAAAUACAUCCUGGUUUUAAUUUUUGUUGGCGCAUUGUGUUUGAAUUGG